rnacentral:rRNA from 1 species
CCUACGGGCGGCUGCAGUGGGGAAUAUUGGACAAUGGGCGAAAGCCUGAUCCAGCCAUGCCGCGUGUGUGAAGAAAGCCUUCGGGUUGUAAAGCACUUUCAGUGGGGAAGAAAGCCUUGGGGCUAAUACCCUCGAGGAAGGACAUCACCCACAGAAGAAGCACCGGCUAACUCCGUGCCAGCAGCCGCGGUAAUACGGAGGGUGCGAGCGUUAAUCGGAAUUACUGGGCGUAAAGCGCGCGUAGGCGGUCUGAUAAGCCGGUUGUGAAAGCCCCGGGCUCAACCUGGGAACGGCAUCCGGAACUGUCAGGCUAGAGUGCAGGAGAGGAAGGUAGAAUUCCCGGUGUAGCGGUGAAAUGCGUAGAGAUCGGGAGGAAUACCAGUGGCGAAGGCGGCCUUCUGGACUGACACUGACGCUGAGGUGCGAAAGCGUGGGUAGCAAACAGGAUUAGAUACCCUUGUAGUC